AGGAGAGGGAGUAUAUAGAGAAACACAGAGGUCUGUACAAGGACAUGAUGAUGGAGAAUCACCGGCUCCUCACAACACUGGAUGGGCCCAGUAACAGAGAAACCCCAGAGAGAUGUCCCCGUCCUCUGUAUUCCCAGGAUUAUACAGAGGAGAAUCACAGGAUCCCACAGGAGGAUCAGGUAGAACGUCUGUCUAAUAUUUAAACAGAAGAUAUAGUGGGAGAAGAGACGUAUGUGACUGUUAUAAAGGCAGAAGAUAUAGAGGGAGAAGAAGAGACGUAUGUGACUGAUAUAAAGGCAGAAGAUAUAGAGGGAGAAGGAGAGACGUAUGUGACUGAUAUGAAGGCAGAAGAU